rnacentral:rRNA from 1 species
UACAGGCUUAACACAUGCAAGUCGAGGGGCAGCAUGGUCUUAUCUUGCUAAGGCCGAUGGCGACCGGCGCACGGGUGAGUAACACGUAUCCAACCUGCCGUCUACUCUUGGACAGCCUUCUGAAAGGAAGAUUAAUACAAGAUGGCAUCAUGAGUCCGCAUGUUCACAUGAUUAAAGGUAUUCCGGUAGACGAUGGGGAUGCGUUCCAUUAGAUAGUAGGCGGGGUAACGGCCCACCUAGUCUUCGAUGGAUAGGGGUUCUGAGAGGAAGGUCCCCCACAUUGGAACUGAGACACGGUCCAAACUCCUACGGGAGGCAGCAGUGAGGAAUAUUGGUCAAUGGGCGAGAGCCUGAACCAGCCAAGUAGCGUGAAGGAUGACUGCCCUAUGGGUUGUAAACUUCUUUUAUAAAGGAAUAAAGUCGGGUAUGGAUACCCGUUUGCAUGUACUUUAUGAAUAAGGAUCGGCUAACUCCGUGCCAGCAGCCGCGGUAAUACGGAGGAUUCGAGCGUUAUCCGGAUUUAUUGGGUUUAAAGGGAGCGUAGAUGGAUGUUUAAGUCAGUUGUGAAAGUUUGCGGCUCAACCGUAAAAUUGCAGUUGAUACUGGAUAUCUUGAGUGCAGUUGAGGCAGGCGGAAUUCGUGGUGUAGCGGUGAAAUGCUUAGAUAUCACGAAGAACUCCGAUUGCGAAGGCAGCCUGCUAAGCUGCAACUGACAUUGAGGCUCGAAAGUGUGGGUAUCAAACAGGAUUAGAUACCCUGGUAGUCUACAUGGUAAACGAUGAAUACUCGCUGUUUGCGAUAGACGGCAAGCGGCCAAGCGAAAGCGUUAAGUAUUCCACCUGGGGAGUACGCCGGCAACGGUGAAACUCAAAGGAAUUGACGGGGGCCCGCACAAGCGGAGGAACAUGUGGUUUAAUUCGAUGAUACGCGAGGAACCUUACCCGGGCUUAAAUUGCAGAUGAAUUACGGUGAAAGCCGUAAGCCGCAAGGCAUCUGUGAAGGUGCUGCAUGGUUGUCGUCAGCUCGUGCCGUGAGGUGUCGGCUUAAGUGCCAUAACGAGCGCAACCCUUGUUGUCAGUUACUAACAGGUUCUGCUGAGGACUCUGACAAGACUGCCAUCGUAAGAUGUGAGGAAGGUGGGGAUGACGUCAAAUCAGCACGGCCCUUACGUCCGGGGCUACACACGUGUUACAAUGGGGGGUACAGAGGGCCGCUACCACGCGAGCGGAUGCCAAUCCCAAAAACCUCUCUCAGUUCGGACUGGAGUCUGCAACCCGACUCCACGAAGCUGGAUUCGCUAGUAAUCGCGCAUCAGCCACGGCGCGGUGAAUACGUUCCCGGGCCUUGCCCACAAGGCCCGUC